rnacentral:rRNA from 1 species
GACGAACGCUGGCGGCGUGCUUAACACAUGCAAGUCGAACGGAAAGGCCCUGCUUUUGUUGGGUUCUCGAUUGGCGAACGGGUGAGUAACACGUGUGUAACCUGCCCUUGACUUUGGGAUAACUUCUGGAAACUGGGGCUAAUACCGGAUAGGAGCUCCUGCUGCAUGUUGUGGGUUGGAGAGUUUCGGCGGUUGUGGCUGGACUCGCUGCUUAUCAGCUUGUUUGUGGGGUAGUGGCUUACCAAGGGUUCGACGGGUAGCCGGCCUGAGAGGGUGACCGGCGACAUUGGGACUGAGAGACGGCGCAGAAGCCUACGGGAGGCAGCAGGGGGGAGUAUGGCAGAAUGGGCGGAAGCCUGAUGCAGCAACGCCGCGUGCGGGAUAACGGGCUUCGGGUUGUAAACAGAUGUGGAAGGUAACGAAGAGUGAGUGACGGUAAUGAGUAAAGAAGCAACGGCUAACUACGUG